rnacentral:lncRNA from 1 species
AGGUCCAAAUAAGUGGAAAUCAAAACUGAAUUCAACUUGAGCAAAGUCCACAUAGAGAGAAGUCUAUGAUUGAUCCAGUUCGAGGUGCAGAUGGUUAUAUAGAUGGAUAACACUAUGUCAAGUGGAGCAAGGACAUGAUCAUUGGCCAAUAAAGUCAACAAAGACUUUCAAGUUUAUAUUAAAGGAUGGAUCCAUAAAGAUAGACGUCUUGGGCUAAAUUUAGAAGGCUUAAAGGUGGAGGUGCGAAUGACGCAGAACUCACAAUCAACAUUGCAAUCUAAAACCUUGCAUAUAACAUCAAUAUGCAUAAACUUAAACCUCUAAGUAAACCCUUUUUAUUUAACCCACAAUCAACGGUGUGAAGGGAAAAUAAAAUUACUGGAAAUUAAGAAAUUCUAAAUUGAAAAGACACCACAAGUUUACCUUGAUAAGUAGAUCAAAUUCCUAGCUAAACGAGACAAUUAAAGAAUCUUCCUAAAGAGCACUCACAAUCAGCAUACUAAAAGCAAAAUAAUUCUUCAAUUUGAUUAAUUUUAAAGUGAUGUAUGACAACCUAAUGUUGAGGUCUUUAUAUAGGCAUUCACUCAAACUAGUCCUACUUGAGCUCAAAAAAAUAAAAUCCAAGAAUAAUUCUAAUUACAACUCGAUUUAGAAAACUAUCAAACUAAUAAUUAAAAAGAUAUAAACCAAAUAGAAUUAAAAAUCUUCUCUCUUUAAAAGUGGUGGUGUUGUGGCUGAAUUCUCCAUGGUUUAUUUGACUUAGAUUUUGGUCUUUAAUAUUUAAUAAAUUUUUGUUGUAGAAGUUGAGUUAAAGAUGCUUUAAAAGCUACCAAAUUGAUGUAGAAAACAAUUCCUCUUCUAUGAGAAAAUAAAGCAGAAAAUCUAUGGGAAAGUCUAGUAACCAAUUGGCUGAAGACCUCAUCUUGGCUAAGCACCAACACAUUGCCUGAGUCCGUACCCAACAACAACCCCAACAACUUAGGAGGAGAUUGCUUGAUCCAAUAAGUAGCCACCCCGAUAAACAAACUAGAGUUGCUCUCCUCCCUACCUUUCCUCCACUCAUAGUUCAACCUAUCCCACCUAACCAACCCUGUCAGCAUUAUGGUCGCUUCCAUGGUGACCUACCCUAUCGGCAUAUCAAUCACACUUGCUAUCAGUGCGAAAGCAUCCAGCAUCUUAUAAAAGACUACCCCCAGUGACUAAAAGACGUGGCUAAGCCUAUAGCUCAGGAUCGCGU